UUUAAAUGGCCGCAGUAUACUAACUGUGCAAAGGUAGCAUAAUCAUUAGUCUUUUAAUUGAAGGCUGGUAUGAAUGGUUGGACGAGAUAUUAACUGUUUCAUAUAAAUUUAUAAUAGAAUUUUAUUUUUUAGUCAAAAAGCUAAAAUAUAAUUAAAAGACGAGAAGACCCUAUAAAUCUUUAUAUAUAAAUUAUUAGAAUUUUGUAGAUUUUUUUUAUUAUAAUAAUUAAUUAUAUUUUAUUGGGGUGAUAUUAAAAUUUAAUAAACUUUUAAUUUUUUUGUAACAUUAAUUUAUGGAUAGUUGAUCCGUUUAUAACGAUUAAAAAAAUAAGUUACUUUAGGGAUAACAGCGUAAUUUUUUUGGAGAGUUCAUAUCGAUAAAAAAGAUUGCGACCUCGAUGUUGGAUUAAGAUAU
rnacentral:rRNA from 1 species